rnacentral:lncRNA from 1 species
CGUAAGAGCCUUUUGGUUUUCUUGCUGGUAGAAAACCUAUUAAAAGAGUCCUUUGGUCUUCUUGAUGGUGGGAGACUUAUAAAAGAAAUGAGAGACUCUAGGAUUUAUACCUACAAUAUAAUUUGUGCCUCUAACCAUCGUGAGACACUCUUGAGGAACAUUGUUAGGGUGAUCGUUCUCUCUAAAAGCAAGGACAGAUUUUACCAAAUGGAUACAG